rnacentral:lncRNA from 1 species
UAGUAAUUAUAAAUUGUUAAGUAUUCAAGCAAUAAAAGUAUCCCUUUUUUAUUCAAUUACAGAUACUUGGAAGUUUUUUGGCUCCCUCAAAGCAACCACUUGUUUACUUACUUUGUCAAAAAUAGGUAGAUGUAAGAAGUUAUGCUCGAUAUCUACUCUUUUCUUCCUGUUUCCCGUCCAGCUUCAAGAUCCAUUACCUUUGCAAUCAACAUUUUGGCAUCAGAGCCGGGAAUGGAGGAGUAGCGAGUGAGCAGUAUUAAGAAAGAUGUUUCUUUUCUUGCUGCAAGAUAGGAGAGACUUUUUCAGAAAACACAAGAGAUGUUUACUGCCAUGAAUGCAAGGUUUGAUAACCUUCAGUCGGUCCAAAAUCAAGAAACAGUAGAGAGUUCUUUCAACCAAAGCAGAAUUAACAAUGGUCGAUUUAGCAGAGAAGGAUCUAUGAGAACCAAUUACUUACCCAAAUUUGUGAAACUCGAAUUUCCUCAAUAUAGUGGCACAGAUGAUCCUACCUGAUGGAUUUGUAGAGCGGAGAAAUUCUUUGAAUAUCACCAAACUUUAGAUAAGGAAAAAGUGUCAUUAGCCUCCUUCAACUUGGAUGGAGAUGCUCAAUGUCACGAAUUACGCUCAUUCGCCUAAGCAUGCGAUAGUCCGUGCGACACUUGAGUAAACGUUUCCAUGCAAGCCAACCAAUACUCGGUUAUAU